rnacentral:lncRNA from 1 species
UCCAACAUAACUCCAUUUAACUCACUCUCUCUCCCUAUUUUCUGCUCCACAUAACCGAACCCACCUCCAUCUCUUUCAUACAUUCAUCUUCUCCAACUACAAGUCCAUUUCCAAGCUUGAAGAUCAUUCGUAGAAGUUGUAAGUUGAAGGGCUCUCAAGAAAGCUUUGUUCAAGUCUUUAUCACCAUCUUUUCUCUUCAUCUUUGCACUAGAUUCAUCCCUAGCUUUAAGCUAGUACUCAUGGAAUUUUUACUGUAGAUGAUAGGCGUGUUUGCUGAGGAGAUUUGGGUUACAAGUACCGAAGACGCAAUACAGAAAUUAGUAAAUGGAUCUGGCGGGCGUUGGAGUUUUUAAGCUGCAUUGUGAAUAAAGAUGUCAUCUAAGUCAUUAGGGCUUAGGAGGCGUAUCUUAAUCCUGGACGAGAUACGUGGUCCUAAACUCGGGGUUGUUUUAAAAUCUUUUGUUGAGUCUCUUUGAACUCCUUAAAACAUGUUAUGGUUGGUAACUUGAAUUUGGUCUCGUCAUUUCAGACAAUUAUGUUGUACUACUUUUAAACUUAAAUUAAUGGAUCCACAUCUACUGGUUUUAUC